AUGUCUGCACAGUAUUUGUCUGGUGCUUGUUUAUGAGUUGAGAAAUAAUUCUGCAAAAACCACAAUCCAGCAUAAUACCUCACAAUGGCCAAGAUGCUGACUCAAACACAUAGCCACAAUGAUGUCGUAGUUACGCUUUAAUUCCCAUCUGAACCUUGAUAACCUCUUUAAAAGCCAGUCAUCCAUCUGGAGUGAUAGAGGUCUGUGCCACUGCUGAACCAGGCAUGGCAGGAGGGUGACCAAAAACCCCAAAGUUACCUCAUCACUUGUCGGAAGAACCUAGAACUGUUACUUUCUUGGAUUGCAGUACCCAUCACUCCUCAACUAGAUCGGGAAUCUGGGAGACGCAACUCAAAAAUGCAAUUUUCCAAACUCUGCCCUCUGUAUGGUUCUUUGCUCUGUCCUUUUCCUAACCCAUAAAACUGAUAUUCUCAGGCUUGAA